UAGAAAAAAUAAUGCUAAAAUCAGUAAUAAGAGGGCUCACAGGCCCUCUCCUCGCACAUGUGUAAGUCGGACCGGACUCACCACCGACAAUUAACGGACUCAAAUGAAAGAAAAAGAACAAGCCGUAAAAGACAAGAAAACACUAUUAAACUUAACCGUUAACCCAACACAGGAGUGCACAAGGAAAGACUAAAAGGAGAAGAAGGAACUCGGCAAACACAAACCCCGCCUGUUUACCAAAAACAUCGCCUCUUGCUAACAAAGGAAGUAUUAGAGGUCCCGCCUGCCCUGUGACCGUAAGGUUUAACGGCCGCGGUAUCCUGACCGUGCGAAGGUAGCGUAAUCAUUUGUCUUUUAAAUAGAGACCUGUAUGAAUGGCAUAACGAGGGUUUAACUGUCUCCUUCCCCUAGUCAAUGAAAUUGAUCUGCCCGUGCAGAAGCGGGCAUAAUAACAUAAGACGAGAAGACCCUAUGGAGCUUUAGACAAAAGGCCACACAUGUAAAGACCAAAAAAACCAAAAGGAUAUAAUAUCGACAAAACCCAGUGUAAAUUGGUCCAAAUGUCUUCGGUUGGGGCGACCAUGGGGGAAAACAAAGCCCCCACGAGGAAUAGGGAUAACCCCCUAAGCUAAGAGGAACACUUCUAAGCAACAGAAAAUCUGACCAUUAUGAUCCAGGUUAUUAAACCUGAUCAACGAACCAAGUUACCCUAGGGAUAACAGCGCAAUCCUUUCCCAGAGUCCAUAUCGACGAAAGGGUUUACGACCUCGAUGUUGGAUCAGGACAUCCUAAUGGUGCAGCCGCUAUUAAGGGUUCGUUUGUUCAACGAUUAACAGUCCUACGUGAUCUGAGUUCAGACCGGAGUAAUCCAGGUCGGUUUCUAUCUAUGAAUUUAUUCCUUCCCAGUACGAAAGGACCGGAAUGAAGAGGCCAAUACUUAAAGCAAGCCUCACCCCUACCUACUGAAGAUAAAUAAAAUAG
rnacentral:rRNA from 1 species